UCCCUGGUGGUCCAGUGGUUAAGACUCUAAGCUUUCAAUGCAGGGGGCCCAGGUUCAACCCCUGGACAGGGAA
rfam:TPA: Bos taurus chromosome 3, whole genome shotgun sequence.